rnacentral:tRNA from 1 species
GGGGUUUUAGCUCAGUUGGUAGAGCGCCUGUCUUGCACACAGGAGGUCAGCGGUUCGAAUCCGCUAAGCUCCA